rnacentral:piRNA from 1 species
UAGAAGCUGGCCCAUUUUGUACAAUAAAA